GGAUCCCAUCAGAACUCCGAAGUUAAGCGUGCUUGGGCGAGAGUAGUACUAGGAUGGGUGACCUCCUGGGAAGUCCUCGUGUUGCACCCCC
rnacentral:rRNA from 11 species